AAAGAAAUAGAAAAAAGAAAUUGGAAAUUGGAAUAGAGAUUUUUAUCUCCACUCUCCCACUUACGGGAAGAUUCUACACACUACCACUUCUUUCAUUUUCACACAGACACCACCGCCUUUCAGAUAGGAAAGGAUGACAACCUCUCUCGUCGGCAAUCACCGCACAAACACCUUUGCAACGUUUCUCUCUGUCUAAAUCUCUCUUCCGCUGUUCAAACACACAUGUCGGCCUUGUUCUCUCUCUGCGCUGCUGCUGUCCGGCAGUUUGUAGCGCCACCGUCGCUGGAUUCAGACAACUGUAGGAUUUUCUUGUUUAUCCUUCAUUGUUUGAAGAUGUGACUGCUAAUGUGAAAUCUGGAAGGAGAAAUAGUAGUUUUGACUAAUCUAAUGUCUUGUGGGAUAUAUGCGUGCAUAUUGUAAUUGUGGAAUGAUAAUACAAAUAUAGUGUGAACUUAAUUGUGUCUGUGAUUGAUUGAUUGAUUUUAUCUGAAUAUAUUUGGCUUGCUAAAUGAUUGUAGUAUUGUUUGGGAGUAUGUGAUAAUUAAGCACCCCUAUGUGGGUCACUGGCAUUGACACUCUAUAUGAGUUAUUGUCACCCCGGUGAGGGUUAUCGGCACCCUAUGUGGGUUAUUGGCACCCCUAUGUGGGUUAUUGACACCCUCGUGUGGGUUAUCGUUAGUAGAUUGUUUAAGUAGUUAUGAUUUAAGAUCAAGCAAUAUGGUUGUUGAUGAUAAAUGUGAUCGUUCAUGAUAUUGAAGUUAUUGAUAUUAGAAACUACUAUUGAUGUUGCUAUGAAUAUUUGUCAAUAUUACAAAAAGAAAAUUUUGAGGCUCUGUGCCGUGACGUCGAAAUAUAAAUUAAAGAAAAUAACGGAUCGAACUAUGAUUAUUAAAUAUUUGAAAAUCUAGAUGGGGUGUUACAAGUUUGGUAUCAGAGCCUAGGUUUAGGCGAUUCUGGGUAGAAGUGAGUAGAAGUGAGUCAGUAUAGUGUGUAGAAACAUGCUACAUAGGAAAAAGUGUCUGUUAGUACCAGAGUACCAGAGUCUGUUAGUACUAGUGAUUCGAUGCAACUGCUUAGGUUUAGAGUGUGGAAAAAUUGAUAAAGUUGACGGAAUUUCCCAUGUGACCGAGAUAGACGUUAUAUGGGGCUGGGCACGCUCCGCAGCAACAGCCUCCACUUUCUCGUUGACCUGCUUCAUCCUCCUUGCGAUGUUGUGGCGAUACAAUAAUUUCUUGAGGCUGUAGCGGCUGAGUUUGGAAUGAGAGUGGUUGAGUUUGGAGACAUGAGUGUUGCACUCAUCCAAAAUGUCAUCAAUCUCAUAAGCAAGAGCGGUGAGCUUCUACAGCCAGUUUCGAAUUGGCUUGCUCUCGAUAUGCUUGUCUUCGGCAUCCUCCAGCACAACUUUGAUGGUGGUGAGAGUGCUGCAGAGCUUCUUCAUCUCAUCAUCGACGCCCAAGAUCAGUCUGAUCUCCUCCUUGAUUAGGGAGCUCAAAUUGUCAAGAAAGAGUUGAAGAAAUGCGUCUGCCAUUAUGAAACAACAAUAGUUUACUUUUCUUCUUCUGAUAGCCAAAUGAGGAAUUUGAGAGGACUGAGUGUUUAUGUUAGCAAGAAUAGAAUUGUUCAAGCUUAAAAAGUAUACUUUGUAAAAGUAAACGACUUGGGCCACAUGACGAUUAUCCAUAUGUUUUAUAAAAUUAUAUGAAUUUUACAAAUUUA